AACGAACGCUGGCGGCAUGCCUAACACAUGCAAGUCGAACGAGACCUUCGGGUCUAGUGGCGCACGGGUGCGUAACGCGUGGGAACCUGCCCUUAGGUUCGGAAUAACUCCCCGAAAGGGGUGCUAAUACCGGAUAAUGUCUUCGGACCAAAGAUUUAUCGCCUGUGGAUGGGCCCGCGUUGGAUUAGCUAGUUGGUAGGGUAAAAGCCUACCAAGGCGACGAUCCAUAGCUGGUCUGAGAGGAUGAUCAGCCACACUGGGACUGAGACACGGCCCAGACUCCUACGGGAGGCAGCAGUGGGGAAUAUUGGACAAUGGGCGAAAGCCUGAUCCAGCAAUGCCGCGUGAGUGAUGAAGGACUUAGGGUUGUAAAGCUCUUUUACCCGGGAUGAUAAUGACAGUACCGGGAGAAUAAGCUCCGGCUAACUCCGUG
rnacentral:rRNA from 1 species